UACGGGGGGGGCAAGCGUUGUUCGGAAUUACUGGGCGUAAAGGGCCAGUAGGCGGCCAACUAAGUCGGAUGUGAAAUCCCCAGGCUCAACUUGGGAACUGCAUCCGAUACUGGAUGGCUUGAAUUCGGGAGAGGGAUGCAGAAUUCCAGGUGUAGCGGUGAAAUGCGUAGAUAUCUGGAGGAAUACCGGUGGCGAAGGCGGCAUCCUGGACCGACAAUGACGCUGAACGGCGAAAGCUAGGGGAGCAAACGGG
rnacentral:rRNA from 1 species